rnacentral:rRNA from 1 species
AUUGAACGCUGGCGGCAGGCCUAACACAUGCAAGUCGAGCGGGGUUUUCGGACCUAGCGGCGGACGGGUGAGUAAUGCGUAGGAAGCUACCCGAUAGAGGGGGAUACCAGUUGGAAACGACUGUUAAUACCGCAUAGUGUCUACGGGCCAAAGUGUGGGACCUUCGGGCCACAUGCUAUCGGAUGUGCCUACGUGGGAUUAGCUAGUUGGUGAGGUAAUGGCUCACCAAGGCGACGAUCCCUAGCUGGUUUGAGAGGAUGAUCAGCCACACUGGAACUGAGACACGGUCCAGACUCCUACGGGAGGCAGCAGUGGGGAAUAUUGGACAAUGGGCGCAAGCCUGAUCCAGCCAUGCCGCGUGUGUGAAGAAGGCCUUCGGGUUGUAAAGCACUUUCAGUAAGGAGGAAGCGUUGAGUGUUAAUAGUACUCAGCGUUGACGUUACUUACAGAAGAAGCACCGGCUAACUCUGUGCCAGCAGCCGCAGUAACAC